rnacentral:rRNA from 1 species
UACGGAGGUGCGAGCGUUGUCCGGAAUCACUGGGCGUAAAGGGCGCGUAGGCGGCUAUGUAAGUCAGUUGUGAAAUACCUCGGCUUAACCGAAGGAAGUGCGAUUGAUACUGCGUAGCUUGAAUCAGGUUGGAGGUAGGCGGAAUGUGACAUGUAGCGGUGAAAUGCUUAGAUAUGUCAUAGAACACCGAUUGCGAAGGCAGCUUACUGGGCUUGAUUGACGCUGAGGCACGAAAGCGUUGGGGGAGCAAACAGG